UGUUAGAACGUGGAACAUCAGAGCACAAUUCUGAGUGGGGAAGGCCCUCAGAACACAGAACAGAGACUGCCAGAGCUGGGAGGGAUCUCAGGCUAUACUUCCACGGGCUCCCCAGAGUAACAGUGGCCAUUGAGUCUGAGCCACAGCAGGACAGGUGUCCCCUCUCCCAUAUUCCCCCCAAGGCUUCCCCAGCCUCGGCUUGCAGACAUCUCCUGGGGGCGAGGUGAGGAAACUGAGAUUAAGAGAGGGGAAACAACAGGCUGGAGGAGUGACAGAGCCAAGAACAGAACAUAGGGACCCUGGCCCCCAGCCUGGGGUCUGCCCUCGAGGCAGUGAGCGAGGGUCCUCUCUGGAAAGCCCCUGCCUUUCCCGUGACAUCCACUGUGUGCUGGUGAUUGAAUCCGCCAAGAAAAGGAAUUCAUAAAAUUGUAUUUGGUUAGAUUGAACUCCCAGAGUUGGUGAGGAAAUGGGCAGUCCAUACCACUUCCUGUACAGGUAUAUGAUCUCCAAUAGUCCUUGCCAUCUGCCCUGUCUGCCCCUUGUGAAGGAACCUCAUCCCUCUCCUCCUGCAACCCCAGGGAGCCAAUGUGGAUCUCAGCUGGGGCUGAGUUACCCAGAUCAGAGAGGUUCUAAAUCCUUAGAUGCGAAGACAUGCAAGCCUAUAACCUGAGGGAGAGCUGGAGUGGUGUAAGUGCAAACUGAGAGCCUGCCUUGGAGUCAGCAAGACCUGUGUUCAAGUUCCCCGUAGCUACGAGGCUGGAGCAAGUCAGUCUAUCUCUCAGAAGCUUCAAACUGAGAAUCUGCUCUCCCCAGUGACCACAUCUCCCUGGUGCUGACUUCCGUCAAGAGUGUGACCCAGGCUAACACGGGUCAUCCGUGUCGUGUUUGUCUCUCUCUCUGGGUUGGCCACAGACCACAGCACUCCUAGGAAGGAGCAGAUAAGUCUCAGGAAGACACCUCUCAGGGAAGUCCAAUCAGACCUUCAGGUGCUCCUGACUCCGAGCCCAAGCCUCAGUGGGCUGUGCCCUGCUGCCUCUCACCCCCAUUCUACACAUGAGGAAAGCAAGGCUGAGAAAGAUGAACUGAUCUGCCUAGGCCAGUCAGCUAAAAUGACUGGUGCUUUGAAGAGGAGGGUAACAUAAGGUUAAUUCAGAAAAUCAGGAAGAUCUGCUCAGAGAACAGCUCUUUCCAAUACUUCAUGGUGUUUGCUGAGGGAGGACCUCCCCCCUCCACGAAGAUAAGACCCCCUGGUUCUUGGGACUGGCCUGGGCCCCCAGUGAGCGGGAAGGAACGGCCCAUCCCUAGGAGUCUGCCUCACUCACACCAGCUCACCACAGUCCAAUCCCUGCUGAGCGGGCAGCUGAAAUGGAGUCUCUGAACCCAUAAAGCCAUGACCCCA